UGGAUGGGACCAGCUUGUGGGUCU
rnacentral:piRNA from 1 species